rnacentral:rRNA from 1 species
UACGUAGGUGGCAAGCGUUGUCCGGAUUUACUGGGCGUAAAGAGCGCGCAGGCGGUCGUCCAAGUCGCGUGUGAAAGCCCCCGGCUCAACUGGGGAGGGUCACGCGAUACUGGUCGACUCGAAGGCAGGAGAGGGUAGUGGAAUUCCCGGUGUAGUGGUGAAAUGCGUAGAGCUCGGGAAGAACAUCGGUGGCGAAAGCGCUCUGCUGGACUGCAACUGACACUCAGGGACGAAAGCUAGGGGAGCGAAUGGG